UAGGGAAUCUUCCACAAUGGGCGAAAGCCUGAUGGAGCAACGCCGCGUGUGUGAUGAAGGGUUUCGGCUCGUAAAACACUGUUGUAAGAGAAGAAUGACAUUGAGAGUAACUGUUCAGGUAUUGACGGUAUUUAACCAGAAAGCCACGGCUAACUACGUGCUAG
rnacentral:rRNA from 1 species